rnacentral:rRNA from 1 species
UACGUAGGGCGCAAGCGUUAUCCGGAAUUAUUGGGCGUAAAGAGCUCGUAGGCGGUUUGUCGCGUGUGCCGUGAAAGUCCGGGGCUCAACUCCGGAUCUGCGGUGGGUACGGGCAGACUAGAGUGAUGUAGGGGAGACUGGAAUUCCUGGUGUAGCGGUGAAAUGCGCAGAUAUCAGGAGGAACACCGAUGGCGAAGGCAGGUCUCUGGGCAUUAACUGACGCUGAGGAGCGAAAGCAUGGGGAGCGAACAGG